rnacentral:misc_RNA from 1 species
GUUUGAUUUAAUACAAUUUUAAAAAUGCAACACAAUCCACCAUGACCUUAUUCAAGAAUGGCUCUAAAGACCAGGAAAUAGAUACAUACCAUCCAUAGACGUAUUCAAGGGAACGAAAAUUCCAGAAUUGAUGCCAUAAAAUAUACAUUACAGGCAUACAUGGCAUAAAAACUAUUAUAUCAUAAUUCAUAAGUUAUUUUUUUGAACUGAAGUUCACGACAUAUUACAAGCACAAGUAAACAGAUGGGAGUUUCAAAACUAUACAUUUGAAGGAAAAAGAUUCCUCGACAAUUGGUGAGAUUACACAUGCCACAUGGAUUCAUUUCUUUGCAAGCAGCUUUUUUGGCAGCUUAUCCAAAGAAGUAGUUUUUAAAAGGAAAAGCCGGGCAGCACGCUCUUGCAUGGUACCUCCACACUUAAGCCCACGAGCCUGUAGUUCAUUCUUUAACCUUUCCAUGCCGAGAACCUAUCACAACAAUAAGGUAGGGUACGGCAAAAUGUAAAACCAUAAGCAAUUGAUGAUGCUGCCUUCAUCAAUUAAUAAUGCAUCACAACCACAAUACUGACAAGUUAUUCAUAUCAUGGAUUCAUGUUCCUACGGGAAAGCUCCAUUAACAAACACACACAAAAUCUUUCUUUCCUUUUUUCAUGGAUUGCCAAGUGCUAACCUUUCAAAUAUACUAAAAUAAAAACAUUGGAGUUAUACAAAUUUCAUGCAGCCCAAUGAACAAUUCAUAGUUGCCUAUUCAGCUACUCUCAAGUCCUAUUUUUAUUUGAUUAAUGGUACAAAGUCUUGAUUCAAAUGUUAGAGCGAGUAAAAUUUUGCUCAUCAACUCAUGCCAACCAUGAUAAAGAACCAAAUCCAUUAUUAGUCAAAAUUGGCUACCUCAGCUGAUCUGACAAAUGCAUUUUUCCAUGACACCCAUAUAUAAUUCAAACAUAGGGUAAAUAAUAAAAUGAUAAUUACAAAUUAAAUAAAACAUAAGAAAUUAAACCUAGCAUACCUCCAUCUCAGCUGCUGAAUUGAAAUCAUCAAAAUUUAGUGGCUUCUCAAGAUCAGUGUCCAUUGCUUCUCCCUUAUAUUUAGAGUUUAAGUUAGAUACAGCUUCAGCAGUAACUGGCCUGCUUUCAAUGCCAUCCCCACUUGCUGGCCUUGAAACAUGUAGAGGUUCAGAAUCAGGUCCAACGUUAUCCUGCUUUUCAGCCUUAACUGCAUCAAUUACAGAAAUCUCAGCAGUCUCCAAGCAAGUUACACCAGCACUCUGUACUACUGGUUCCUCAUGAACCUCUGCUUCAGCCAAUCCAUCCGCUUCACUAGGAACAAUUUCUUCUUGAGGGCUAGAUUUCAAAUUUUGCUCCACAG